UACAGAGGGUUCGAGCGUUAAUCGGAAUUACUGGGCGUAAAGCGCGCGUAGGCGGCUUUGCAAGUCGGGUGUGAAAUCCCCAGGCUUAACCUGGGAACUGCAUUCGAGACUGCAUUGCUAGAGUAUGGGAGAGGGAAGUGGAAUUUCCGGUGUAGCGGUGAAAUGCGUAGAUAUCGGAAGGAACAUCAGUGGCGAAAGCGACUUCCUGGACCAAUACUGACGCUCAUGUGCGAAAGCGUGGGGAGCAAACAGG
rnacentral:rRNA from 1 species